rnacentral:rRNA from 1 species
UACGAAGGGGGCUAGCGUUGCUCGGAAUCACUGGGCGUAAAGGGUGCGUAGGCGGCGCGGUAAGUCGGGUGUGAAAUCUCGGAGCUUAACUCCGAAACUGCAUUCGAUACUGCCGUGCUUGAGGACUGGAGAGGAGACUGGAAUUUACGGUGUAGCGGUGAAAUUCGUAGAUAUCGAGAGGAACAUCGGUGGCGAAGGCGGCCUUCUGGACAGUGACUGACGCUGAGACGCGAAAGCGUGGGGAGCAAACAGG